GGCCCCUGCGGGGCUGCGUGGUGCGCCCCCAACGGUCGGCCCGGGCCCCGGGGAGCCCCUCACCACGCGGAGCCGGCCCUGCUCGCGGAGAAGCGGCGGCCUCGAAGCUCGGCUCCCUCCUUCCUGUUUCCGGGUGAGGCCCACCUUCCAGGAUGGAUUCCAACCACAGCGCUGCUCUAACAGCACCUUAAAAACAGCACGCAUUGACUCUCUUA